GGCGUGCUAAUACAUGCAAGUCGAGCGAACAGAUAAGGAGCUUGCUCCUUUGACGUUAGCGGCGGACGGGUGAGUAACACGUGGGUAACCUACCUAUAAGACUGGGACAACUUCGGGAAACCGGAGCUAAUACCGGAUAAUAUGUUGAACCGCAUGGUUCAAUAGUGAAAGAUGGUUUUGCUAUCACUUAUAGAUGGACCCGCGCCGUAUUAGCUAGUUGGUGAGGUAACGGCUCACCAAGGCAACGAUACGUAGCCGACCUGAGAGGGUGAUCGGCCACACUGGAACUGAGACACGGUCCAGACUCCUACGGGAGGCAGCAGUAGGGAAUCUUCCGCAAUGGGCGAAAGCCUGACGGAGCAACGCCGCGUGAGUGAUGAAGGUCUUAGGAUCGUAAAACUCUGUUAUUAGGGAAGAACAAACGUGUAAGUAACUGUGCACGUCUUGACGGUACCUAAUCAGAAAGCCACGGCUAACUACGUGCCAGCAGCCGCGGUAAUACGUAGGUGGCAAGCGUUAUCCGGAAUUAUUGGGCGUAAAGCGCGCGUAGGCGGUUUUUUAAGUCUGAUGUGAAAGCCCACGGCUCAACCGUGGAGGGUCAUUGGAAACUGGAAAACUUGAGUGCAGAAGAGGAAAGUGGAAUUCCAUGUGUAGCGGUGAAAUGCGCAGAGAUAUGGAGGAACACCAGUGGCGAAGGCGACUUUCUGGUCUGUAACUGACGCUGAUGUGCGAAAGCGUGGGGAUCAAACAGGAUUAGAUACCCUGGUAGUCCACGCCGUAAACGAUGAGUGCUAAGUGUUAGGGGGUUUCCGCCCCUUAGUGCUGCAGCUAACGCUAUUAAGCACUCCGCCUGGGGAGUACGACCGCAAGGUUGAAACUCAAAGGAAUUGACGGGGACCCGCACAA
rnacentral:rRNA from 1 species